CUUCACCAUAACCACUACCACCGCUGCGACCACAACAACAACAACAACAAUUAAGACUUAUACUAACCUAUCUCCCACCACUAUCAUCACAACUACAACACCAACAAUUAGAUCUUCACUAACAAUUCACCACCACCACCACUACUACUACUACUACUACAAUUACAAUUAAGAUAUUCAGUGAAGAAGUUUUUCACAGCGAAAGGAGUUUUACCUCUGAAGUUGGGUCGAGAUGGCUCAUUGGUUACACUAACUCUUAUCUCUUUGAAUAUGUACAAGUUACCCGAUCUCAAAUGAUCAAGGCCAACAACUCUGGAUUACAAACGGAGGCAAAUCUACCCAAUAUCAAAAUCACCACCAAAUUAUGCAACUUCUGUUUACCGUGCUAUUUAUUCUUGGAUUAGCAUUUCAAAGUUUUGUCGAUGCCUGCAGUCGUAAAUCUCCGAGACCAUUGGAUCCCAGCAAAUCCACAACCGCCGCCACUGUCUCUUCCUCCUCCUCCUCCUCCUCCACCACAUUUAAACCUGUACCUCCAAACAGAUUCAACUGUACAGAGGAGCAAAUUUCAAGUACAUCUUGUCUCAAUGGCGGCGUAUGUUUCUCUAUGAUGCUCGGUGGAAGCAAGGCGUCCGCCUGUAAGUAAGUAGCUUGGUUGG